rnacentral:rRNA from 1 species
AUUGAACGCUGGCGGAAUGCUUUACACAUGCAAGUCGAACGGCAGCACGGACUUCGGUCUGGUGGCGAGUGGCGAACGGGUGAGUAAUGUAUCGGAACGUGCCCAGUCGUGGGGGAUAACGUAGUGAAAAUUACGCUAAUACCGCAUACGAUCUAUGGAUGAAAGCGGGGGAUCGCAAGACCUCGCGCGAUUGGAGCGGCCGAUAUCAGAUUAGGUAGUUGGUGGGGUAAAGGCCCACCAAGCCAACGAUCUGUAGCUGGUCUGAGAGGACGACCAGCCACACUGGAACUGAGACACGGUCAAGACUCAUACGGGAGUGAGCAGUGGGGAAUUUUGGACAAUGGGCGAAAGCCUGAUCCAGCCAUUCCGCGUGCAGGAUGAAGGCCAUCGGGUUGUAAACUGCUUUUGUACAGAACGAAAAGGUUUCUACUAAUACUAGGAGCUCAUGACGGUACUGUAAGAAUAAGCACCGGCUAACUACGUGCCAGCCGCCGCCGUAA